rnacentral:rRNA from 1 species
GAUGAACGCUGGCGGCGUGCCUAAUACAUGCAAGUCGAGCGAAGCGUGAACGGGUGAGUAACACGUGGAUAACCUCCUAUAAGACUCGGAUAACUUCGGGAAAACGGAGCUAAAACGAAGACUCAUAGAUGGAUCCGCGCUGAAUUAGCUAGUUGGUAAGGUAACGGCGUACAAAGGCAAAGAUGCAUAGCCAACCUGAGAUGGUGAUCGGCCACACUGGAACUGAGACACGGUCCAGACUCCGACGGGAGGCAGCAGUAGGGAAUCUUCCGCAAGGGGCGAAAGCCUGACGGAGCAACGCCGCGUGAGUGAUGAAGGUCUUCGGAUCGUAAAACUCUGUUAUUAGGGAAGCGGUACCUAAUCAGAAAGCCACGGCUAACUACGUGCCAGCAGCCGCGGUAAUUC